rnacentral:lncRNA from 1 species
UCAGCCUGUUGUGGUGUGGUGUUGUGCUGUUGUGGUGUUGUGGUAGUGGGGUGUUGUGGUGGUGUGGUGGUGGGGUGUUGUGGUGGUGGGGUGUUGUGGUGGUGGGGUGGUGGGGUGUUGUGGUGUUGUGGUAGUGGGGUGUUGUGGUGUUGUGGUGGUGGGGUGUUGUGGUGGUGGGGUGUUGUGGUGGUGGGGUGUGUACGUCUGCAACUGUAUCGUUCUGUCAGCCUGUUGUGCUGUUGUGGUGGUGGGGUGUUGUGGUGGAGUGGUGUGUCCAUCUGCGACUGUAUCCUUCUGUCAGCCUGCUCUGUUCUUGCGCCGUUGUGGUGUUGUGUUGUUGUGGUGUUUGCGUUGUGUUGUGUCCAUCUGCGACUGUAUCUUUCUGUUGGCCUGCUGCGCUGUUGCGUUGUGGUGUUGUGAUGUUGUGGUGGUGGUGUGUUGUUGCGGUUUUGUAGUAUUGUGGUGA